rfam:Escherichia coli str. K-12 substr. MG1655, complete genome.
CCGUCGGUGAAAGUCCGCCCCGGCUAACUCUCGCUCCGACUGGAAGGACAAGAAGCGGUCCAGGAGGUAACAAAAGGGCUGAAUCUCUCCCUGAAACGACUUCUUCAGGAAGUCAACGGGUUAUGCGGGCCGUAACGUGA